UUUGUCAGUCUUCUUUAAAGUGUUACCAUAAACUAAAGGUAAAACACAACAUUUCAAACUUUCAUCUGAAACAAAAAUGCAAUUGAAAAUGAAAUAAAAAGACAAAGGUACAAGACUGUGUAAUUAACAGCUUACUGAGGGAAAGAACUACAAUCCCAUGAAGCAUUGCAAAUAACAAUCAAUUUAAGAAUG